AAACCAUGAUGAGGACACCGAGCUUGGUAGUCCUUGAAUCUCUCCCAUGCCUCACUGAAGCUCUCUAGAUUCUUCUGCUGGAAACCAGAGAUCUCAUUCCUUAUCUU